CAAGCUACGCAAACACGUAAUGCAUCCAGAGUGUAUAUGUGUAUUGUGCGUCGGAAUAAAUGAUUGUCUACAAGGAUACAUAGACAAUCGUCGCGGCGGAGCCCGGAAUAAUUUCAGAAAAUGGACGCUUCCUCGCAGGUAGGAAUAAGUGAAGUUUGCCGCGAAUUUCGUCGACUCAAGCGACACCUUAUUGCUAAAACGCAGUCGCGAUAAAGACGUGCCGAGUGAAAACGAGAAAGAAUAUCACAUAUAUUUGUUUUCGCGAAGGACUGAGAAGCGGCGCUUACGUAUUAAUAAAACUAAUUAAAACUAUUGAAAAUAAAUAUUGCCUGCGAGCGAGUAUAAAAUCGGAAAUACAUAUCAGAAAAGUUGUUAUUAAUUUUGUUCGCAGACUCGUUUCCAAAUACUCUACAAUCGCUGCAAAACAUGUUGACAAUCUCACCGUGGAUUUGCGCGAACCCGAGAAUCGCGUGUUUAGUGUAUUUUCGUAAAUUCUUCGCCAAGAAUGAAGGUUUUUUUCCCCGAGUCGUAAAAUUUUAAAACGGUACGUGUGGAUCGCGUCGCGAGUGUGCUUGAGUUUGUGCGAAUAGAGUGUGAAGAGAGAAUCGGCGAUAAGCAAGUGGUCUUCGUGGCCGAGCUCGGGCUGCUUCUGAGAAUUGAACGAGUCGAGGAAGUGAUAUACAUUGUGCGACAGGCGUUAAUGAGACAAAAUAAAAAGAUUUACACAUUACAAGAAUUACCUCUGAAAUAACUUUUUUUCCAAGAACUUGUCAUAUUUGGCUGCAUAACGAAAUUUCUUGCACACGCAUCGAAAGUUAAUGAUAUCUUCAAUAGUGAUAACAUUAUAGCCGAGAAUGAUGGCUAUGAUCUCCUCUGUACACGAAAUGAGUCUGCCGAUUACAAAGAGCACAGAUGUGUGUUUGAUGUACACGAGAGACGUUUCCACACUACAGACGGUCUGUUCUUUAUUAUGAAAUGUGACCCCAAAUUUUAAAGCCUUAUUGCUUGUUUUCACUAAGAUACAGGUAUAAGAAUUUGUCACGGCAUGCGCAGAAAAUGUAAUUAAGAACUAGCAAAAAUUACCACUUUUUCCUGUGCACUUGAAAGAUAGA